GCCGGGAUGACCGAGUGGCUUAGGUGCGCGGCUGCAGACCGCGAUAUUUGGGUUCGAAUCCCAAUCCCGGCC
rnacentral:tRNA from 1 species